UAGGAAUCUUCCACAAUGGGCGAAAGCCUGAUGGAGCGACACCGCGUGAAGGAUGAAGGCCCUAGGGUCGUAAACUUCUAAAAGAGGGACGAUAAUGACGGUACCUCUUGAGAAGCACCGGCUAACUCCGUGCCAGCAGCCGCGGUAAUACGGAGGGUGCAAGCGUUAUCCGGAAUCACUGGGCGUAAAGGGCGCGUAGGCGGUCUGUUAAGUCUGGCGUUAAAGCCUGGGGCUCAACCCCAGAUCAGCGUUGGAUACUGGCAGGCUAGACGGCUGGAGAGGCGAGUGGAAUUACCAGUGUAGCGGUGGAAUGCGUAGAUACUGGUAGGAACACCCAUUGCGAAGGCAGCUCGCUGGACAGCACGUGACGCUGAGGCGCGAAAGUGUGGGGAGCAAACC
rnacentral:rRNA from 1 species